UCUCUCUCUCUAUAUAUACGAUCGAGUCAUGAGUUGAUUGGUAGCAAAAUAUUUCUCAUCGACAGCCAAGUGAUUGAGUGCUUGCCUAGCUAGUGUUGUAUCAAGUGGGGGUAUGGGCAAGCACGCGAUUCGCAUGCUUGCACUAGCAGCCCUAGUGUCUCUACAUCUCGUAUGCUCUGCCAGUGUUGCUCAAUGUCGAACCAUGAAUGGCAUGGAUAGCAAGAAGAUCAAUAUACCAUACGGGCUAUGCAUUCAUGUAGCAGAUACCAAACUAUGCGGGAGCAAUGGGUGCUUCCAUUGUUUGACAAAUGACGUCCUCUACCCCAGUAUGGAUAGGUGCACGAGAGCGUGUAAGACAUCCUCAUCUUUACAAGACGUGCUAGUGGCCAUGAGGACGUCCCCUCCUCGUCCUUUACAUGCUCCUUAAUUUUCCAGCCUAGCUAGUCAAAUUGGCUUACAUAUUUACAAGAUUGUCCCAAGAAAUAAUGUCUGAUGUGCGGAAAGGCAGUUAUGCAAUAAGAGCUGAGUAGUUUGGUUUGGCAAA